CCUACGGGUGGCAGCAGUGGGGAAUAUUGGGCAAUGGGCGAAAGCCUGACCCAGCCACGCCGCGUGAGUGAUGAAGGCCUUCGGGUCGUAAAGCUCUGUGGGGAGGGACGAAUCCGCUCGGGGAACAAUACCCCCGAGCCCUGACGGUACCUCCUUAGCAAGCACCGGCUAACUCCGUGCCAGCAGCCGCGGUAAUACGGAGGGUGCAAACGUUGCUCGGAAUCAUUGGGCGUAAAGCGUGUGUAGGCGGCCUGUUAAGUCGGGUGUGAAAGCCCUCGGCUCAACCGAGGAAGUGCAUUCGAAACUAGCAGGCUUGAGUACGGGAGAGGGUAGCGGAAUUCCCGGUGUAGAGGUGAAAUUCGUAGAUAUCGGGAGGAACACCAGUGGCGAAGGCGGCUACCUGGACCGAUACUGACGCUGAGACACGAAAGCGUGGGGAG
rnacentral:rRNA from 1 species